rnacentral:tRNA from 1 species
GGCGCUGUGGCUUAGUUGGUCAAAGCGCCUGUCUCGUAAACAGGAGAUCCUGGAUUCAAAUCCCAGCAGUGCCU